rnacentral:rRNA from 1 species
AGCAGCCGCGGUAAUUCCAGCUCCAAUAGCGUAUAUUAAAGUUGUUGCAGUUAAAAAGCUCGUAGUUGAAUUUCGGAAUCAAUAUACCGGUCGUGCCUUGGUACGUACUGGUAUCAUUGGUUUCUCCUUUCUGACGAACCAUGAUGUCAUUAAUUUGGUGUUAUGGGAAGUUAGGACUGUUACUUUGAAAAAUUAGAGUGUUUAAAGCAGGUUUUAGCUUGAAUACAUUAGCAUGGAAUAAUGAAAUAGGACGUUCGAACCUAUUUUGUUGGUUUCUAGGAUCAACGUAAUGAUUAAUAGGGAUAGUUGGGGGCAUUAGUAUUCAAUUGUCAGAGGUGAAAUUCUUGGAUUUAUUGAAGACUAACUACUGCGAAAGCAUUUGCCAAGGAUGUUUUCAUUAAUCAAGAACGAAAGUUAGGGGAUCGAAGACGAUCAGAUACCGUCGUAGUCUUAACCAUAAAUUAUGCCGACUAGGGAUCGGAUGAUGUUAAUUUUUUAAUGUACUCA